rnacentral:lncRNA from 1 species
UGAUGACGACACACACCCUCUGCAAAAUGGCGGCUCGCAGCCUGACCGUCACAGACUUCAGAGAAGGUCUUUAUGGCUCCAGGAGGACUUUAAUCCAGGCGUUGCCUAAUGUUCUACACAUCAGAGGAGCCUUCACUGUGAGUCAAUGGAGGAGAGUGUGUUUGUGUCCCUCUGGUGUCUCUUUACACAUCCUAACAUAUGGAAAUGCUUUGCUCGAUGAAAUGUGAUAUGACUUGUUUUCCUAUAAAUUUGGUAUGAUCAGAUUAUAGCACAGUCACGUUGCUUCUCGUGACCUUGAAUGGUGAAUGUAAUGUAAAUGCAGCCAUUGAUGGGUAUGAAACCGUAGACAUGCAUGGUUUUUAUGCCAUUCCUUUUUUUUCAAAUCUUGGUCUAUUAAUACUCCAAGAUGUAUCCAUAAGAAUAAAUGAGCUGUUGUUCUGUAACCA